GACGAACGCUGGCGGCGUGCCUAAUACAUGCAAGUAGAACGCUGAAGAGAGGAGCUUGCUCUUCUUGGAUGAGUUGCGAACGGGUGAGUAACGCGUAGGUAACCUGCCUGGUAGCGGGGGAUAACUAUUGGAAACGAUAGCUAAUACCGCAUAAAAUUGAUUAUUGCAUGAUAAUUAAUUGAAAGAUGCAACUGCAUCACUACCAGAUGGACCUGCGUUGUAUUAGCUAGUUGGUGAGGUAACGGCUCACCAAGGCGACGAUACAUAGCCGACCUGAGAGGGUGAUCGGCCAACCUGGGACUGAGACACGGCCCAGACUCCUACGGGAGGCAGCAGUAGGGAAUCUUCGGCAAUGGGGGGAACCCUGACCGAGCAACGCCGCGUGAGUGAAGAAGGGUUUCGGAUCGUAAAGCUCUGUUGUAAGAGAAGAACGGGUGUGAGAGUGGAAAGUUCACACUGUGACGGUAUCUUACCAGAAAGGGACGGCUAACUACGUG
rnacentral:rRNA from 1 species